rnacentral:rRNA from 1 species
GAUGAACGCUGGCGGCGUGCCUAAUACAUGCAAGUCGAGCGAACAGACGAGGAGCUUGCUCCUUUGACGUUAGCGGCGGACGGGUGAGUAACACGUAGGUAACCUACCUAUAAGACUGGGAUAACUUCGGGAAACCGGAGCUAAUACCGGAUAAUAUUUCGAACCGCAUGGUUCGAUAGUGAAAGAUGGCUUUGCUAUCACUUAUAGAUGGACCUGCGCCGUAUUAGCUAGUUGGUAAGGUAACGGCUUACCAAGGCAACGAUACGUAGCCGACCUGAGAGGGUGAUCGGCCACACGGGAACUGAGACACGGUCAAGACUCCUACGGGAGGCAGCAGUAGGGAAUCGUCCGCAAUGGGCGAAAGCCUGACGGAGCAACGCCGCGUGAGUGAUGAAGGUCUUCGGAUCGUAAAACUCUGUUAUUAGGGAAGAACAAACGUGUAAGUAACUGUGCACGUCGUGACGGUACCUAAUCAGAAAGCCACGGCUAACUACGUG